GUGGUUCAGUGUUUGGGGAGGGACUGAGGCUUUGGUUCAGGAGCAUUUGUUGAGAAGGGGCUGAGUAAGUGACCUUGGUGAGGGGAGUGUGAGCAGCUCAUUUUAAAAAAAAGUUUCAGUCAGAAGACACAGACCAGAUUGUGAAUCAUUAAAAAGUAAAGUAACUGACUUGAGUUGCCACUUGCAUUAAAGAAGCAGGACAAAGGGCGUCUCAGCCAACCAAGGUGAAUUGCAUGAAAAACACUAAUCCUGGAGGAACUCAGCAGGCCAGGCAAGGUGAACUGCAUAAUUGAAGUCCAACUGACAAGAGUGACUGCACCUUGUAUCACGUGGGACCCCACAUGAAACGUAGGCUCCUUUUUCUUCAGGUUUAUGCAGACUGAAUGUUGACCAUCAAGCCUCAGGCCUCUUUCAACUUGCUUAACUGAGGUCAGGCAGUGAGACCUCUGCAGCUCCUGGCCUUUGGGCAGCAUUGUGCAGGGGCUUCAACCCAACCACUGCCGCCCACCCCAGUAACAGGGCAGAAUUGGGACCGGAA